rnacentral:rRNA from 1 species
AUACGGAGGAUGCGAGCGUUAUCCGGAUUUAUUAGGUUUAAAGGGUGUGUAGGCGGUAUUUUAAGUCAGUGGUGAAAUCUCGGAGCUUAACUUCGAAACUGCCAUUGAUACUGGAAUACUUGAGUAUAGUUGAGGUAGGCGGAAUAUGUAAUGUAGCGGUGAAAUGCAUAGAUAUUACAUAGAACACCGAUUGCGAAGGCAGCUCACUAAACUAUUACUGACGCUGAUGCACGAAAGCGUGGGGAGCGAACAGGAUUAGAAACCCGAGUAGUCC